CCCGUAACACCUUCAUCACUUCUGUAAAAUUACAAUAACCAUCUAAAACCAUAAACUCCAAUCACACACACGAGGAGAAAAAAAAAGAAAGAAAGCAAAAGGCGAAACCUUGUGAAGUAAUGAGCCGGUAAGCGUGACCGAGCACAAGAUUCUCCGUUGGCCGGAGAAGCUGGACACGUGUAAACCUCACAGCCUUCCUCUGCUUCUUAUCAUCUCCCUUCUCCGUCGCUGGAAUAUUCUUCUCUUCCUCCUCUGACAAAGGAAUGAUGAGAGAGACGUAGUGACCAGGAUACAUAGCCAUGACCUCGGUGACGGAUACAGAGCUAUAGUACCGGUCGAUAAUCCCGCCGGGAUGUUGUAGAACCAGCACUGCCGCAUUCACCGCCUGACAAUUCCCCAUAUAUGCAGUGGGAGAAAAAAACACACUAUCUU